UACGUAGGGUGCGAGCGUUAAUCGGAAUUACUGGGCGUAAAGCGUGCGCAGGCUGUUCUGUAAGUCAGAUGUGAAAUCCCCAAGCUUAACUUGGGAACUGCCGUGGAUACUAUCAAUCUUGAAUAUCGUGGAGGUAAGCGGAAUAUGUCAUGUAGCGGUGAAAUGCUUAGAUAUGGCAUAGAACACCAAUUGCGUAGGCAGCUUACUACACGAUCAUUGACGCUGAGGCACGAAAGCGUGGGGAGCAAACAGG
rnacentral:rRNA from 1 species